rnacentral:rRNA from 1 species
UACCGAGGUCUCAAGCGUUGUUCGGAAUUACUGGGCGUAAAGGGUGCGCAGGCCGCGCGGGCAGUCAAAUGUGUAAUUCAGGGGCUCAACCCCUGCACUGCGCUUGAUACUUCCGCGCUCGAACCUUGGAGAGGAGUCUGGAAUUCUCGGUGUAGCAGUGAAAUGCGUGGAUAUCGAGAAGAACACUUAGGGCGAAAGCAAGACUCUGGACAAGUGUUGACGCUCAUGCACGAAGGCUAGGGUAGCGAACGGG